UGCAAGUCGUACGGGAGUUUUUAACUCAAGUGGCGGACGGGUGAGUAACACGUAAGAAUUUACCUUUAGGAGGGGGAUAACAACUGGAAACGGUUGCUAAUACCCCAUAUGCUUUCGAGUGAAAUGGAUUUUUCCGCCUAGAGAGAAGCUUGCGGCUGAUUAGCUUGUUGGUGAGGUAAUGGCUCACCAAGGCGACGAUCAGUAUCUGGUUUGAGAGGAUGAUCAGACACACUGGAACUGAGACACGGUCCAGACUCCUACGGGAGGCAGCAGUGGGGAAUUUUCCGCAAUGGGCGAAAGCCUGACGGAGCAAUACCGCGUGAGGGAUGACGGCCUAUGGGUUGUAAACCUCUUUUUUCAGGGAGGAAUCAAUGACGUGUACCUGAAGAAUAAGCAUCGGCUAACUCCGUGCCAGCAGCCGCGGUAAGACGGAGGAUGCAAGUGUUAUCCGGAAUCACUGGGCGUAAAGCGUCUGUAGGUGGUUUAAUAAGUCAACUGUUAAAUCUUGAGGCUCAACCUCAAAAUCGCAGUCGAAACUAUUAGACUAGAGUAUAGUAGGGGUAAAGGGAAUUUCCAGUGGAGCGGUGAAAUGCGUAGAGAUUGGAAAGAACACCGAUGGCGAAGGCACUUUACUGGGCUAUUACUAACACUCAGAGACGACAGCUAGGGUAGCAAAUGGGAUUAGAUACCCCAGUAGUCCUAGCCGUAAACAAUGGAUACUAGAUGUUGGACAGAUCGACCUGUGCAGUAUUAAAGCUAACGCGUUAAGUAUCCCGCCUGUGCAAGUCGUUGCAAGUCGUG
rnacentral:rRNA from 1 species